UUGAACGCUGGCGGCAUGCCUUACACAUGCAAGUCGGGCGGCAGCGCGGGGGCAACCCUGGCGGCGAGCGGCGAACGGGUGAGUAACAUAUCGGAACGUACCCAGACGUGGGGGACAACUAGUCGAAAGACUAGCUAAUACCGCAUACGUCCUGAGGGAGAAAGCGGGGGAUCGCAAGACCUCGCGCGUUUGGAGCGGCCGAUAUCUGAUUAGCUAGAUGGUGGGGUAAAGGCCCACCAUGGCGACGAUCAGUAGCUGGUCUGAGAGGAUGAUCAGCCACACUGGAACUGAGACACGGUCCAGACUCCUACGGGAGGCAGCAGUGGGGAAUUUUGGACAAUGGGGGAAACCCUGAUCCAGCCAUUCCGCGUGAGUGAAGAAGGCCUUCGGGUUGUAAAGCUCUUUCGGCAGGAACGAAACGGCGGAAUCUAAUACAUUCCACUAAUGACGGUACCUGAAGAAGAAGCACCGGCUAACUACGU
rnacentral:rRNA from 1 species